AUUGAACGCUGGCGGCAGGCUUAACACAUGCAAGUCGAGCGGGGGAAGGUAGCUUGCUACCGGACCUAGCGGCGGACGGGUGAGUAAUGCUUAGGAAUCUGCCUAUUAGUGGGGGACAACAUCUCGAAAGGGAUGCUAAUACCGCAUACGUCCUACGGGCGAAAGCAGGGGAUCUUCGGACCUUGCGCUAAUAGAUGAGCCUAAGUCGGAUUAGCCAGUUGGUGGGGUAAAGGCCUACCAAGGCGACGAUCUGUAGCGGGUAGGAGAGGAUGAUCCGCCACACUGGGACUGAGACACGGCCCAGACUCCUACGGGAGGCAGCUGUGGGGAAUAUUGGACAAUGGGGGGAACCCUGAUCCAGCCAUGCCGCGUGUGUGAAGAAGGCCUUAUGGUUGUAAAGCACUUUAAGCGAGGAGGAGGCUACUUUAGUUAAUACCUAGAGAUAGUGGACGUUACUCGCAGAAUAAGCACCGGCUAACUCUGUGCCAGCAGCCGCGGUAA
rnacentral:rRNA from 1 species